AAGCAGAGACUAAAACUCGUACCUUUUGCAUCAUGAUCUAGUUAGUAAAACCCAAGCAAAGAGCACUUUAGUUUGAUUCCCCGAAACUAAGUGAGCUACUCCAAGGCAGCCUAUUAACAGGGCACACCCGUCUCUGUGGCAAAAGAGUGGGAAGACCUUUGAGUAGUGGUGACAGACCUAUACGAACUUAGUAAUAGCUGGUUGCCUGAGAAAUGGAUAGGAGUUCAGCCUUUCGGCUUCUUUCUUGAAUAAAUCUCUCCACAUGAGAGACCCCCCAAAGCAUUCGAAGAAACCGUAAGAGUUAUUCAAAGGAGGUACAGCUCCUUUGAAAGAAGACACAACUUUUCCAGGCGGAUAAAGAUCAUAAUAACUAAGGGUAAAAUGUCCUGGUGGGCCUAAAGGCAGCCAUCCUAGUAGAAAGCGUUAAAGCUCAGACGAACCCCAACCCCCCCCCCAAUCCUGAUAAUUUUAUCUUAAUCCCCUAAUUAUACCAGGCCGCCCCAUGCACACAUGGGAGUGAUAAUGCUAGAAUGAGUAAUAAGAGGGCCAUUGCCCCUCUCCUUGCACACGUGUACAUCGGAACAGACCCCCUGCCGAACCUUAACGGCCCCAACCCAAGAGGGAACUGAAUAACAGAACAGAAGACCAGAAGAAUAUUCAACUUGAAAACCGUUAACCCUACACAGGUGUGCCCACAAGGAAAGACUAAAAGAAAAAGAAGGAAUUCGGCAAACACAUGAAGCCUCGCCUGUUUACCAAAAACAUCGCCUCUUGCAAAAUUAAACAAAUAAGAGGUCCCGCCUGCCCUGUGACUAUAUGUUCAACGGCCGCGGUAUUUUAACCGCGCGAAGGUAGCGCAAUCACUUGUCUUUUAAAUGGGGACCUGUAUGAAUGGCAUAACGAGGGCUUGACUGUCUCCUUUUUCGAGUCAAUGAAAUUGAUCUUUCCGUGCAGAAGCGGGAAUAUAAACAUAAGACGAGAAGACCCUAUGGAGCUUUAGACACUAAGACAGAUCAUACUUAAGUCCCUCACUUCCAAACAAAGAACUAAACCAAUGAAGCCUGUCCUAAUGUCUUAGGUUGGGGCGACCCAGGGGAACAAAAACCCCCCACGUGGACUGGGAGGACCUUUCCCCCUUUUUCUUUCGUCCUCCUAAAAACAAGACCCACAGCUCUAAUAUUCAGAAUUUCUGACCAAUAAUGAUCCGGCAUUAGCCGAUCAACGGACCAAGUUACCCUAGGGAUAACAGCGCAAUCCCCUUUCAGAGCCCAUAUCGACAAGGGGGUUUACGACCUCGAUGUUGGAUCAGGACAUCCUAAUGGUGCAGCCGCUAUUAAGGGUUC
rnacentral:rRNA from 1 species